rnacentral:rRNA from 1 species
UGGGGAAUCUUCCGCAAUGGACGAAAGUCUGACGGAGCAACGCCGCGUGAGUGAUGACGGCCUUCGGGUUGUAAAGCUCUGUGAUCGGGGACGAAUGGCUGGUAUGCUAAUACCAUAUCAGAGUGACGGUACCCGAAUAGCAAGCCACGGCUAACUACGUGCCAGCAGCCGCGGUAAUACGUAGGUGGCAAGCGUUGUCCGGAAUUAUUGGGCGUAAAGCGCGCGCAGGCGGCUUCUUAAGUCCAUCUUAAAAGUGCGGGGCUUAACCCCGUGAUGGGAUGGAAACUGGGAGGCUGGAGUAUCGGAGAGGAAAGUGGAAUUCCUAGUGUAGCGGUGAAAUGCGUAGAGAUUAGGAAGAACACCGGUGGCGAAGGCGACUUUCUGGACGACAACUGACGCUGAGGCGCGAAAGCGUGGGGAGCAAACAGGAUUAGAUACCCUGGUAGUCCACGCCGUAAAACGAUGAAUAC